rnacentral:misc_RNA from 1 species
GAUGAAGAACGCAGCGAAAUGCGAUAAGUAAUGUGAAUUGCAGAAUUCAGUGAAUCAUCGAAUCUUUGAACGCACAUUGCGCCCGCCAGUAUUCUGGCGGGCAUGCCUGUCCGAGCGUCAUUGCUGCCCUCAAGCACGGCUUGUGUGUUGGGCCCCGUCCUCCGAUCCCGGGGGACGGGCCCGAAAGGCAGCGGCGGCACCGCGUCCGGUCCUCGAGCGUAUGGGGCUUUGUCACCCGCUCUGUAGGCCCGGCCGGCGCUUGCCGAUCAACCCAAAUUUUUAUCCAGGUUGACCUCGGAUCAGGUAGGGAUACCCGCUGAACUUAAGCAUAUCAAUAAGCGGAGGA